AUCGAGCAUUAGUAUGACGAUAAACGUUCGACGUUCGUUGCGUCUUUUGUUCUUUUAAUCGAUAUCGAACGCGUGCACUUUUCCUCUAGUAGGACGUCGCGAUCCGUUGGGUGUCUGUCUAAGGUUUGAGGUGGAGCCCACGUGAUUUUUAAUUGCGUGGACCCUCAUUAUCCCGACAGACUCGCUCGACGGUAUAUUGAUGGCGCGGGGCCGCUAAUUUAGUUAGCGUUCGGCCCGUAGCAAGCACGUUCUGUGUUUUGACAGUCAUCGGACCUGGUGCCGAUUCUGUCCCGGAACGACUGUUGGUUACGGUGUUCUCGAACAGACCUCG
rnacentral:rRNA from 1 species